GUAUGGUGGAAUAGGCCAAAGCGGCAGCGAUGGCAAUGAUCCACAGCUCCUGUUUCAGGUGAGCGACUUUCUCCACUUGGACUACGCUGGAGACAAGAACGACUCCUAGUAAGGUUCAGAACAUACCGGGGUUGAAUAGCAUCAAGCCGGGCGUACCAGGAGGCAGGAUUGGAGGGUGGAGCAGGACUCCACCUGUGCUUUCAGGUCUCCGAUUUUGCUGCAUGCAUAGGGCUGCUCUUAUGAUUCUUCUCUUUUAUCCUUUUAAAUGUAUAAUCGUCUGUAUGCAUAGUCUCUGGAAGUAUAUACAAGAUUGCUCAAACUUGUAUAUUUCUUGCCUUCGUUUUUUAUGGAAACGACAUCUUAACAGUAGCACAAAUAUUUCUAGACGCAUUGAUUAAAUUAGUAGUAUUCAGUUCUAAUCAUCCUCUUCAUUUUUCAUCACAGAAUUUCUUGCUUCCACUUGUCCUUACUAUUGGAGGGUGCCUUGGAGCUCCAAAGUACCCGGGUUCGGGAUGAUUUCCUUCACUAGGACGCCGCUGGGGACAAGAACGACUAGAUUUUCUUGCCGCCACCUUUCCUGAAUAUGGAUGGUGCCUUGGAGCUGGAAAAUGGGUGUCCGGGCUGGUGCUGCUUAAGCUCUCAUACGACGGGCUUAGACUGCUGACCGCCACCACAUGGCGAAGGUUCAGGAUUGGGUGCAGUGGUGCUGGUAGAGCCCACUGCUAGCAGCAGCAAUGAUGACGCUGUGCAUGAAAGUCCAGGAGGGCGCCUUGGUAGAGGACGGUGACUUUCUCCUUCACUAGGAUGCAUGAAGCUGCCACUUGGGACAAGAAUGAACAACUAGGUGCCUCCUGCUGCCUGCCUUUUACUGAUUGAUUAUUCCCUGGCUGUCUGUUGCGCAAUACAAUCGUCUGGUUGUGAAUUUA